rnacentral:rRNA from 1 species
GAUGAACGCUAGGGGCAUGCUUAACACAUGCAAGUCGAACGAUUUUUUUUUUUCGUAAGAAAAAAAAGGAAAGUGGCGGACGGGUGAGUAACGCGUAAGAACCUGCCCUUAGGAGGGGGAUAACAACUGGAAACGGUUGCUAAUACCCCAUAUGCUGAGGAGUAAAACGGUAACAACCGCCUAAGAAUGGGCUUGCGUCUGAUUAGCUUGUUGGUAAGGUAAAAGCUUACCAAGGCGACGAUCAGUAGUUGGUCUGAGAGGAUGAUCAGCCACACUGGGACUGAGACACGGCCCAGACUUCUACGGAAGGCAGCAGUGAGGAAUUUUCCGCAAUGGGCGAAAGCCUGACGGAGCAAUGCCGUGUGGAGGAAGAAGGCCUACGGGUUGUAAUCUCCUUUUCUCGGAAAAGAAAAUUUGACGGUAUCUGAAGAAUAAGCAUCGGCUAACUUCCGUGCCAGCAGCCGCCGUAAUAC